rnacentral:rRNA from 1 species
GACGAACGCUGGCGGUGUGCUUAACACAUGCAAGUGGUGCGACGAACCAGAGCUUGCUCUGGGGCAAAGCCGCGAACGGGUGAGUAACACGUGGGUAAUCUACCCCGAUGACCGGGACAACCCGAGGAAACUCGGGCUAAUACCGGAUGUGGUGCGGAGACAUAAGUCUCUUCACUAAAGGUAGCUUCGGCUUCCGCAUUGGGAGGGGCCCGCGGCCCACUAGCUUGUUGGUGGGGUCAAGGCCUACCAAGGCAACGAUGGGUAGCUGGUCUGAGAGGACGAUCAGCCACACUGGGACUGAGACACGGCCCAGACUCCUACGGGAGGCAGCAGUGGGGAAUCUUGCGCAAUGCGCGAAAGCGUGACGCAGCAACACCGCGUGAGGGAAGAAGGCCUUAGGGUUGUAAACCUCUUUCAGAUGGGACGAAGGUUCUCCGGUGAAUAGCCGAGAGGAUUGACGGUACCGGCAGAAGAAGCUUCGGCUAACUACGUG